CGGCGGCGGCGGCGGCAGCGACGGCGGCAGCGACGGCGUGCGGGGCGGGGGCGCCGCCGGGGCGAAGGGGGGUUUUCUCCCACUCCCACGCCCCCGGCCACACCCCCCCCGAGCGCUCGCGCGUGGGCAGGCGGCGCAGGCGCGCACCGUCGCGUGCGGUUCCCCCCUCCCCCCGCCCCGCGGAAACACGCGCGCGCACAGAGCUCGUCUAAACAAAGUCCUGUCGCUUCACCUAUUCUGCGCGUGGGGGGUGGGGGGAGGGGGCGGGGCCGGGUCACGUGCGCCUCCGGAGGCGGGGAGAGCCCCGCCGAGGCGCGUGCACCCGCCCUUCACAGUGCCGCCGCGUAGUGGGGCCGGGGUCUCGCGCGGCGGAGGUGGGUGGUGGUUGGUUGCGCAUGCGCCCGCGGGCGGUGGGCGGUGCAGGUGGCGGAGCGGCGCGAGGAGCAAUUUGUAACCGGUAAAGCGGCGGCGGAGCUCCCCGGCAGCGCGCCGCGACCCGCUCCGCCGGAGGGCGAGGGAGGGGUGGCGGGAGUUGCCGUCUCCGCCGCCCUCUACCCGCCUGUCGGCCGGGUGACGCGAGCCCGCCAGCCGCGAGAGCGGUUUAACGGCCGCCCUGGACCCCGGCGAGGCGCGGAGCGGGCCGGGGGAGGAGCGCUGGGCGGCGGCGGCGGCCCGGCCUUGCGCAGGUCCUUUCCCCCGCACGCCCGGCCCCGGAGCGACGAGGGCGGCCCCCGCCGGCAGUCUGGGCAGCCCUGCGGGGCCCGGCCGCGGCGCUGCCUUCCUGCCCCAGCCGCUCCGGCGGGCAGUUAGGCGCCCUCUUUUGCUUACAGGGCGGCGCUGUGUUUUGGCACCAGCCGUGUCUUGUUUGUCGGGUUUGGAUGGGAGACGUGAUGGGAGCAGCAGUAUCCGCCAGCCAGAGCCAAAAUUAACGUGCUCCAUCCACUGUAGCCGCAGAGGCAAAGCAGCGCGACGCGGUUGCUUAAUUUUGCUCAAAUUCAGAAGUCACAAGAUAUAUAAGGAUUAAAAAAAAAAAAAAAAACCACACCAAAAACCACACACCGCUGGAAAUUGCAGGUAAGUCCUCUCAACACUCAUCUUUUGCGGUGAACACUAAAAAUGAGCAAUCUUCCUUUCUCCUAAGGCUGUUUCUGAAGCGUUGUCACAUCUUAUCUGAAGGCAGUGGGGUGAAGCCAUGUGUCUUCAAGAAAGUACUUUCUUGAGUCUGCUUAAUCUUUAGGCUGGGAUUUUUUCCAAAUGGAUUCCUGCAUAAAUUUACCUUCUUUUCUUCCUUCCCAAAAGACAUUUCCUAUAGCUGAAUCACCACACUCUAAAGGGAAUGUGCCACUCUGCCUACGCUAUGAGAAGUCUAGCUGUUUCCAGACUAGUGUAACACAGUCAUCUCGCAGACAGAAGAUUUCCUGGCUGCAUCUCUUCUAAGAAGUCAAACAAACAGGACCAGGACCCAGCUGUGACUGUAAGGCCAGGCAUCCUGCGCUGGCCAUGUUCAUACGGUUAAGAUUUCAUCCAGCACAGAGUGGUCACCUAUGAACUGUGCCCAGGAAGUCUUUGGGAAAGUGCUAGUUGUCCUUGGAGGAAAAUGUCCCUGGGGAUGUUCUGACGCUUGAACAGCACGGACACCUGGAUGCACUCUCCGGCACUGCUUAAUUUCUCAGCGCAGACGUAAUCCCCAUGUAGUUAGAGCAGGGUGUGGGAUUGUUCUAUUGUUAAGUGCCCCUAUUAGUGAGAAAUAACUGUUUUUCCUUUCUUCCUCCUCUUAUCUGCUACAUCUGUUUGGAUUAUGGUGUCACUGGUAAAAAUCCUCUUCCUGUUACGCGUAUUAGAGUAAGAUCGUAGCUUUAAAGUUAUUACACAGUAUACUAAUUAGAGUAGCAACAAAAAGAUUGCCAAAAUUUAGAAAAGCCUGAUAAAAGAAAGGGAAACCUUCGGAUCCCCAUACAAAUAUAUGUGUAUUUCUGUAAGUGUGAAUGUGUAAAUAUAUAGAGAUAUCUAGUAUACACAGACACAUACUAAAUGUGGUGUGUGAAAAUAUAUAUAUAUUUAAAUAUACUAUGCAAGAGAGUUCUGCCCUCACUGUAUCCCUCUGCCAGCAGAAUUAAGAAAACAAUCUGUUACACAGCUAUUUGACAGAAGUGUUAUAGUUAAUUAGAUAAACUUAUUCUUGCAUCAUGAAUGACACUUCUAAAAACCUAGACACAUUUCCACAAAGGCAUAUAUGACAUUUCACUCAAAACUGACAGUGUUUCACAGAGAAAAUAGUAGUAGCUAGUCUCUUUCUGUUGAUCUGGUAUGUAACCUGAUCUUAAAAGAUAAUUUAAAAUUGUAACAUGGACUAUUUAUGAAGGAUGAAAUUAACCUCAGAGGUGAGGGGCGACACAAGAAGAGUAGAGCCCAAGCACAGGACAGCUGUUUUAAUGGCUAUGUACUUGAGACUGAAUUUCUAACAGUGGUAGCUGUGCAUGAAACAAGAAAGGUAGUAAAGAAAACAGCAAAGGACAACAGUAACUGCACCAACAGGGACCUUAAAACUACAAUAAAACAAAAAAAAGCAAGCCUGUAAAUUGGAAACAUUACACCAGGAAUUCAAAAAACUAUAAAUCUUUUUCGCUUUUCUUCUAGGAAUCAUAGUUCCAAGUAAAAUUAGGUGAAAUAGCCAAGAAAUAAGCAAAGCAGGUGUCUAAUCACACUUCAAAACAGGUGUCUACAAAUACUGCAGACUUGCUUUGGGUUUACCAGCACUUGGAAGCUCCAUCAAGAAUGUACAUUUAGCACCAGAUGCCAACACUUCCAGGCACAAAUGUAUUAAAUAAAUACUACAGUGUGCAGCAGAACUUCCUCAAGCGAUGGUAAAUGAUGUAACUUUUGCAGUACAUCCUCCCUUAGUCCAGGGAAAGGGGGGAAAAAGUGACAGGGCCAAGCACUUGUUAAGGCCCUUCAGACCUGAUUAAACUCAAAUUACAGGAAACGUUUACUUUAAUAUAAAAUAUGCACAGCAACAUAACCUUAAUUAAACACACACGUCUCUCAAGAUAUCAAUAAAUGUUUCCUUUUUGAUAAGUCUGAUUUAAUAGACUGUAAUAAUGGGAAUGUUUCUGAAACAUCAUUUAAGGAAGUGGGAGAAAUAAACAAGCUCAAAUAUUUAAACCUCAA